rnacentral:rRNA from 1 species
AAUCGCGAAUCAGAAUGUCGCGGUGAAUACGUUCCCGGGUCUUGUACACACCGCCCGUCACACCAUGGGAGUUGGGGAUACCCGAAGCCUGUGAGNUAACUUUUAGAGGCAGCAGUCGAAGGUAGAAUCAAUGAUUGGGGUGAAGUCGUAACAAGGUAUC